rnacentral:rRNA from 1 species
UAGUCCACGCAGUAAACGAUGAGUGCUAGUUGUCGGGAUUUUUCUCGGUGGCGAAGCUAACGCGUUAAGCACUCCGCCUGGGGAGUACGGCCGCAAGGCUAAAACUCAAAGGAAUUGACGGGGACCCGCACAAGCAGUGGAGCAUGUGGUUUAAUUCGAUGAUACGCGAGAAACCUUACCAGCUCUUGAAUCCUGAUUACGAUUUUCAGAGAUGAAUUUUUCAGUUCGGCUGGAUCAGUGACAGGUGUUGCAUGGCUGUCGUCAGCUCGUGUCGUGAGAUGUUAGGUUAAGUCCUUUAACGAGCGCAACCCCCAUCCUUAGUUGCCAUCAUUUAGUUGGGCACUUUAAGGAAACUGCCGGUGAUAAGCCGGAGGAAGGUGGGGAUGACGUCAAGUCCUCAUGGCCCUUACAAGCUGGGCUACACACGUGCUACAAUGGCGAUGACAGUGGGCAGCGAACUCGCGAGAGUAAGCUAAAUCUCUAAAAGUCGUCUCAGUUCGGAUUUG